rnacentral:rRNA from 1 species
CCUACGGGAGGCAGCAGUGGGGAAUAUUGCACAAUGGGCGCAAGCCUGAUGCAGCAACGCCGCGUGAGGGAUGACGGCCUUCGGGUUGUAAACCUCUUUUAGCAGGGAAGAAGCGAAAGUGACGGUACCUGCAGA